rnacentral:lncRNA from 1 species
GGGAACGGGAGAGAAAGGGAAUGUACGCUAGGCAUACGGAAACCUGCCGUCUGAUUAUUUAGCAUUUUUGUUCAUAUCAAAACAUAGACAUUUGUGAUUUAGAGAGUUGAUAAUAAGGUUUUUAUAGUAACAAGGACUUACUUAAAAACGUCUAUAAAAAAACAUUAUUUCUGGGUGCCUCGUGUCAUGGACGAAGGGAGAGAUUGAAACAUGGCGUCCAUAGUUCUAAAAGAUUUAUCGUCGAGGUGGCACAGUCACUCUCCGACACAGGAAGGAAACCGUGUUGGAGACACAAGGAUGCUGCAUGACGUAGCGAACAACCUCUCUUCAAGCACGACAGCAAUUGGUCUAAUUGGAGUGAUGGUCACACUAUGAUCAGACUCUGGAAGGUUGUCCUGUACAACACUGGUAACAGACAAAUCAUCUAAUCCUCCAACAAUGUACUAGGCCAUCUGGCUCAGACAAUCAACUAAUAUUGGCAUAGCUGGACCUGGAAGUCUUCACCAGUCCAACCACCAUCUCCUGACCCUGCUGUUUGUUUUGAGCGACGCAGAGGGUGAUUUGGGCCAGGACAGAGUACAGUCUGCGGUGUACCUAACAAGCUGGAUAGGAAGCCUAUGGGACUGCCUGUCUUUUUGCAGACCAGUAUUGGCUGCAAAUGAUGAGUGUGUAAAGCUUGGGCUACGUUUUGUGUGUGUGUGUGUGUGAAUGUACAAGGUUGAGCACACAUUGGUGAAUAAGAAAGCCAAACACCAAGAUUGAGGCAGGCCUGGCUAACAAGCUGUGCUGUGCUAAGAGGCUCAGAACAAAACUCUUGUUGUUGGCUGUCCAGAUGGAUCCUGGUGGAUGGACAAUGGAUGAUGCCUGAUAGGACAGCUAGGUCUGAGUACAGCCAAGACCCCCCCCCCCCAUAUAGCCACUAUAGCCAGCUCUGAUCCUGCAACCUGGCCAGAUUCAGGCCUGGGACCACUAGGGGAUCUGACUCCCUUCAUUAUCUGUGGCUUCGCUAUCUCAAACUAGGUUUGUGUUAUGAGCUACUGCUGUUGCUGCGGCUGCUGUUCCUGUUGCCACGGUUUCUGUCUCUGGUAGCAUGCCUCUUCCUCUGACAGAACAUUUUCCAGGUAGCAAGCUAACACAAGCCAGCUAGACUCAAAGGGACAUGAGGAAACACAGGUUGGUGUGUGGUACGAAUGCUUGUUUCAAUCUGCCAUCUCUUUAUUUUUUUUAUUUUUUUAUCUUCUUGCUCUCAGCCACUCAGUCUCUCUCUCAGCCACGCUGUCUGUCUCUCUCUCAGCCACGCUGUCUGUCUCCACUCUCUCUCAGCCACUGUCUCUCUCAGCUACUCUCUCUCUCUCGGUCUGUAUUAUGUCUGUUAAUAUCAUCCUACUAAAUACACUACAUGACCAAAAGUAUGUGGGCAUCUGCUCGUCAAACAUCUCAUUCCAAAAUCAUGGGCAUUAAAAUGGAGUUUAUCCCUCCCCCUUUGCUGCUAUAACAGCUUCAACUCUGGGAAGCCUUUCCACUAGAUGUUGGAACAUUGCUGCGGGAACUUACAUCCAUUCGGCCACGAGCAUUAGUGAGGUAGGGCACUGAUGUUGGGCGAUUAGGCCUAUCUCGCAGUCGGCGUUCCAAUUCAUCCCAAAGGUGUUCGAUGAAAUUGAGGUCUGUGCAGGCCAGUCAAGUUCUUCCUCACCGAUCUUGACAAAUGAUUUCUGUAUGGACCUCGUGUUGUGCACGGGGGCAUUGCCAUGCUGAAACAGAAAGGGGCCUUCCCCAAACUGUUACCACAAAGUUGGAAGCACAGAAUCGUCUAGAAUGUCAUUGUAUGCUGUAGCAUUAAGAUUUCCUUCCAUUGGAACUAAGAGGCCUAGCCCGAACCAUGAAAAACAGCCCCAGACCAUUAAUCCGCCUCCACCAAACUUAAAUUGGCAUUAUGCAUUCGGGUAGGUAGCGUUCUCCUGGCAUCUGCCAAAUCCAGAUUUGUCCGUCGGACUGCCAGAUGGUGAAGCGUGAUUUUUCACUCCAGAAAAUGCGUUUCCACUGCUCUAGAGUCUAAUGGCGGUGAGCUUUACACCACUCCAGUUGACGCUUGGCAGUGAGCACACUGAACUUAGGCUUGUGUGCGGCUGCUCGGCCAUCGAGACCCAUUUCAUGAAGCUCCCGACGAACAGUUCUCGUGCUGAUGUUGCUUCCAGAGGCAGUUUGGAACUCCAUAAUGAGUUUGCAACUGAGGACAGACAAUUUUUAUGCACUUCAGCGCUCGAUGGUCCCAUUCAGUGAGCUUGUGCGGCCUACCACUUUGUGUCUGAGCCGUUGUUGCUCCUAGACGUUUCCACAAAAACAGCACCUACAGUUGACCGGGGCAGCUCUAGCAGGGCAGAAAUUUGACCAACUGACCUGGAAAUGUGGCAUCCUAUAACGGUGCCACAUUGAAAGUCAUGGAGCUCUUCAGUACAAGCCAUUCUAAUGCAAAUGUUUUUCUAUGGCGAUUGCUUGGCUAUGUGCUACAUUUUAUUCAUCUGUCAGCAACGGGUGUGGCUGAAAUAGCGAAAUCCACUAAUUUGAAGGGGUGUCCACAUACUCAUGUGUGUGUAGUGUAUGUCACAUUUUCAUUUAUGAAGAAAAGAAAUGACCGCUUCAGGGACUCGUUUCAGGAUUCCUCAGUGAUUCAUAUAUGCAUUGUGUGCUCUGAAAAAAAAAAAAAAAGCAUAAACAUCUCUCCUAUUGCAUAUGUAGCACUUAAACAGCUACAGUACUUAUCCCUUUAAACAUUUGUGGCAUUAGCAGGGCGAUUCCUAAAGAGACUUGACCUGGGUAAUAAAGCUUGUUCUGAUCUAUUAAGCCUCAUUAUCCGGAAGAUGGGUAGGUUAUGCAGGAGGGAUGGAAAGAAUGAGGGAGGGAGGGAUGGAAAGAAUG